UUAACAUAAAUAUCUGACAUCACAACUGUAUAUAAGUAAAAGAAAUCCAGAAAAAGCAUAAUGUCCCCUUUUAAAAACAACUAAGAAAAUCAGACUCCAAAUUCCAUUCAACAUUAUUAAAGUUAAAUUAUUUACUGAUCACAGGUUUCGCUUCGGAAGUAAUAUUGUUCCCUUCUCCAAAGUGGAUCAAGAGCAGAUGAAAUACGUGCAUGACAGGAAGUGCUUUGCUGUUCUGAGCUUUACCAAACAGAAUCCGGUAUUGUACUUGUUAUGACGGUGUGAUUGUACAUGGCAUCUAAAAAGCAUUCAAGUAAAACAUGAAGAAUCAUGUAACUGAGCUUUGCACACUUUAAAAAUUGACUCCAUGAUGUUGGUAGAAGAUGAGGAUGGAGAACAAAAGGACAUGUUCAAGGUCCACCACAUUCCCAACCCUGCGUUCCAGAGGCACUUCCAGGCACUGCACACCUAUUAGUUCUCAGUUGAUGUGGUCAGAAAAGUUUUGGAGGGGGAGGUGGUGGUAUUUAACAUCAGAAGCAAAACCUUUUAUCUUUCUAGACUUGAAUAGACCUUCACCAGCUAUAGGGUGUUGAUAUUCAACCAGGAUUAAAUUUACACCUUCAUGUUGGAGAGUUUUUGUCAAACAGUGGAUGUUUCUCACUUCUGUCUUUCUUUCUCAUUUAUGAAUAUUUUCUCUGAAUCUAUAAAUCUCAGAGUUCUUUCUAGAUUGAAAAGUAUUUAAUUUAUUGUAUGAUAUCAUACAAAUUAGUUUUCUAUGUGCUUGACCCCUGUUGUGAGAAUGCCGUUAAGCAGCUGUUUAUGUGCAAGCCACAUAAUUAAUAAUUAAUUAAUUGGGAGGAAAUAUAAUUAAAUUAAAUGAAUCAGUAUAUAUCUGAAAGUCAUGAACUCUGAACAUAGUGAGCUCCAUCUCUGAUAUACAGGAACAGACAAAUACAAUGACUUGGCUAUAAUCAAGAUAUUUAACUACCAAGAAACAGAGAUGAAUGCGAAACACUAUGCAUAUAUACAUUUAUAUACAUUUAUACAACUAAAAUGAAUGAAUGAAUGGAUGCAGGAAUGAAUGGGUAGAUUAAAUUAACAAGUUACUGCCGACAGAGUGAAUAAAUGAAUGAAUGUUAUCAAAAAUGAGUCAAAAACGCAAUAAGGGGCCAAGACUCUAAAUACAGCCAAUUAAACUAAAUUUUUGAAUAGCGCUUGCAUGGUAGAUGGAUUUCCUACUGUUUCCUUGGUGAUGAAGGGCUGAUGAUGAGGAGCUUUUCAGGAAGUGCCGAGCAAGGCGAAGAAGUCUCAGUUCAGUGAAACAGCUUUGGUUCACUGCUUCUCAGCAGGAUGAAUCCAGUCUCAGACUAGCUGAGGCCGCAUAGUGGACACACACAACAGGGAGGUGUCAGUGGCAGGCUCCAGAGUUGGAUAAAUGGAGCUCUAAACUAAUCAGAAGAGUCUUUAAAAAGUUUAACUACAUGAUAAAAAUAGGAGAUUACAAAAGAAUAGAUUGGUCUAAUGUCAAACAGUACACCUUGGCUUGUGGCUGAAGCAUCUUUGCUUUUGUCUUAAUUGAGUCUCUUUCUGGAGCUCUCAGCUCUCAGUCAUAGAAAAAAAACAAUUCCUGAAAUGCCAGGCUGAGAGGAACACAAAGGAAACAGCAGUGGUUAGCAAGACAAAAAGCAGAAGAGCAGCAGCCAAAAGGGCAUGAGUGAAGAAGAACCAGACAAAGAGUUAAAAAGUAAAACUUCUUAUAGCUAGGUAGCGUGUUUUUUGGAGAGAGAGGAUCCUUUGACGCUCUUUUGAAGGACCACAUUGUUUACUAAUUAAUUAUUUUGUGCGGAGUGAAAACUGGCCUCCAGUGUUAAAGGGGAAUAAUUUUGUUCCUAUCAGAUAUCUGAAAAUUACAAAUUACAUUGCAAAUUGAAUAUUCACUUGUUCUGUUGUCAAUAUCAUCGACACAUCAUGAAACAGUGAGAACACUUAUAAUAAGAAAAGAAAGGAGAGAGAGACUCAAAGGAAUGCAGUUUCUCCUAAAAUUUUAGACGUAAGAGAUAGGGGCUAGCAGAAGAAGGGAGGGUAGUCCAUCCAGGUUUGGGCCGUCUGUAUCUGAAAAGAAAAACAAAAUUGUUCAUUUCUCUCCUCCUGUGGUUGGUGGUGAGAAGACUGGGAUUUUGUUAUGUCCAUUGUUUCCUUGACAUCCUUAUGCCUUUAGGUCAGAGGUCAUCGGGUCCAUGUGUGUCGGCCCCCUGCAACUACUUUUCCAAAGUGGAUCAAGAGCAGAUAUAAGAGCAGCAAAUAUAAGCAUGACAGGAAGUGCUUUGCUGUUCUGGGCUUUACCAAACAGAAUCCGGUAUUGUACUUGUUAUGACAUUGUGAUUGUACAUGGCAUCUAAAAAGUAUUCAAGUAAAACACGAAGAAUCAUGUAACUGAGCUUUGCACACUUUAAAAAUUGACUCCAUGAUGGAGGAUGGAGAACAAAAGGACAUGUUCAAGGUCCACCACAUUCCCAACCCUGCGUUCCAGAGGCACUUCCAGUGCCUGCACCAUCGGGCAGUAAACCCCGGCACCCCUCUUCCCCCCAUGGAAGAGUGGCUGAAGGCUGCCCUCAAGCGCCCUGAGGUAAUUAGUGAACGUUGCUAAGCUCCACUAGAGGAGACGAAGAAGAAGUUUCCUCUCACACAAGUGGAGAAGAAAAAGAAGCCGAAGACUAGUGCUCAGAUUUUUGGCAAAGACUCGGAGGAGCCAGAUGCCAAGAAGGCAAAAGGAGAUGAGGAAGAGGAGGAGUACAACCUGGCUAACAUUGCUGAAGGCUCUGUAACGUCGGGUCUCCUUUGGCGCCACAUUCACCUCUGCCCCCCCUGGGCCCUUUUUUGCCUGGAACACCUCUGUCUCCCUGGGAAAAGCAGAGUUACCUCAGACUAAAGUAGCAACAUUAAAGACAUGCAAGAAUUUCGUGAGGCCCUGAGUCUCCCCUUGGUCCAGGAUCUCCAGGAUUUCCCAUGGAGCCCUGCGACCACAAAAGAGGAUAUUCAAUGAAAAUAGUAUCAUUAACUGUGCGUUAACCAGUGAUAUUUCAUUAAGAAUCCCCUCAAAACAAGAGCUCUAUUAUGAUGUGUUGCAAUCUU